ACUAGUAUUUUAAAAGCAGCAACUGAACUUAAACUUCUAAGCUGAAUCACCCUGAUAAUUUUUACAGUGCACUAGGCCAUCAUGCAGCAUGUUCACAUUUAAC